rnacentral:rRNA from 1 species
UACGUAGGGACCAAGCGUUGUUCGGAUUUACUGGGCGUAAAGGGCGCGUAGGCGGCGCGGUAAGUCACUUGUGAAAUCUCUGAGCUUAACUCAGAACGGCCAAGUGAUACUGCAGUGCUAGAGUGUGGAAGGGGCAAUCGGAAUUCUUGGUGUAGCGGUGAAAUGCGUAGAUAUCGCUUGGAACGCCAAAGGUGAAGACAGGUUGCUGGAGAUAUGCCGACACUGAGACGCGAAAGCCAGGGGAGCAAACGGG